rnacentral:lncRNA from 1 species
UUUUGAAUACUAAAGUACUUUAUUCAACAACACAGAAAUUUCACAAAAACAACUUUACUGGGCAAAUUGAACGUGUUUUUUUUAAGCUUUUUUUUUUUUUUUUUUUUUUUUUUACAGUUUUGUACAUGCCCCAUAAGUAAUUUUCUUUAAUAAAUACAUUGUUUUCCAAAACUGCUUUUUUUAAUAAUUGCACAAGCAUACAUACACCUUACACAAAUAUCUAUUAGAAAAUGUAAUAGAUAACUGCACAGUUCAGAAUAGGAGAACACUGUGAAAGGAGUACAUUUUGUGGCCCAUGUUCCUGAAAUAGCUCUGACUUCCUUGCAAUUGUGAAAAUGGAAUCCCUCCUAACAUAGUAGCUAUCUUUUAUUCACUAGGAAUACAGAUCUCAGUGUGAAACUGCCAAAUUUAAUAAAAACAAAAUCUGAAACAUUUAGCUGUUACAUGAGAACCAACUGUUUGAUAUCACUGUGAAUCUAGCCAUGAUCAAAGACCCACUACAGCUUUUUGCUCUACAUAUUUGACCCUGAAUAGUGUGUUCAUUUAACUGCUUUCCUUUUUUUUCAUUAUUUGAUUACAGACACUAUCGGCUUAAAGACUUUGUAUGCUUUAGUAUUAAUUGUACAACUUACAUGCCAGGGGUUCUGAAUGAAAGGAAGGGAAUAUUCCUUUCUUUGAGUGAUUGUUUAAUAUUAAUUCACAGGACGCCUACCAUCUCUCACUCCCUACAAAUGUGUUUAGAAGAAGGUUGGGUCCUGGGAAUUAAGCAACCAGGAGACAUUUUUAUACAGCCUUUCCCUGGGGGAAGACUACUACUGUUUUCUCUCCCAAGGAUGGACACACUCCUCCUUUGUUAAUACGCCUCCACUUGUGCACAGACAGGCAGAAUCCAUCAGAAAGCCCCUUUGGUUUGAAGGCCUAGAAAGAGAUUUGCACUCUCGUGUUCUUGUGCUUUUAGGGUGGUGCGUGACAGCUGACAAAGGAAUGGAUUCACUGCACCACUGGCUGACACCUCAAGUCCUUUCCAUGCUCUCCCCAAAUCCUGACAGUAUAUGGCAUCUCCUUAUCUACACCCAGAGAAGGCAGGAUUCCUGCGUUCCUACGUUUUUCCUCUGUCUUAUCUGAUAUGUAAUUUCUAAGUUGUAUAGAGAGUCCACGUGAUUUAUAUUCUGAUCACUAUCUUCCGGAUUUUUCUUGCAACUGAAUAUGAAACAAACAGUGAGGAAUGUUUGAAAGUUACAUUUCAUUGGUAUUUUAGAAUCAUGAAAAAUGUAAAUCAUUCAAUCACUCCCUCAGGGCUGUAACGAUAUGCUUUACUAGUUCUUGAUACAUGGACUUACAGGGAAGAGAAGGGGGGCGGGGAGGCCGGAAGGGUAAUCUGUCUUCAACAUCACCAACGAGAACUUUAGAUGCACCCUACAUUACAUAGAGUUUUACCAAAAAACAUAAAAAAUGGCUGGUGUAAAAGAACAGUAUCAAGAAUAAAAACACAUAAGAGAAUUUUUAAAAAGCUGCACUUUUCCAUUUCAAUAAUCAACAGAUUUUCGUUCAUUAAAAAACGGAAUUGACAUGUAAAACACCACCUUUUACAAUAUACAGAUUCAUUAAUUCUUUAAGAAAACAAACAAACAAAAACACAUCAAGACAUGCAAUACUAGCAUGUAUUUUAGACUCACAGUACAUUGCUAUGAGAUCUUUAUGUUAUCGUAUGCCUAAUGCAGCCUGAAGGAAAGUUUGUGUCAAUUCUGUAGUAACAAUCAUCAUUUUCCAAAAAGCAAGGCAAGCUUACCAUUCAAGUGUGAAAGUAAAUUUUCACUUACUUGUAAUUAAUUAGCAAACUGGUUUCAAAAAAUAAGUAAAAUAAAAUUAAAAAAUGGAACAAGAAAAAACUCAUAUUGCUCUCAUUGGUCCCACAGCAGAAAGAGAAAUUCUAACUAGAAACCUUCAAAGGAAUAUACAUCAAGUAGAAAGCUAUCUCAAAAUUAAUAUACAGCACGUUUUAACUUGUGUUUAUAUAAUUCUCUUCUCUACACAUGGAUAAGUGGAAUACAUAAUGAAUUCAUAUCAAACAGGCUAUUUGACAGUAACUGUAGACCUUGCAUUCAUACUCUAGGCAAGUUAAGUCACAUUGUUUUUCACAUUGGCAUUUGUAAGUACCUUCUCUCCACCCCUCCAGCCAGCACUCCAAUGAUGAAGUGCUCCUUCUGCCUUGAAAAAAAUCUCCUCUGCCGUAUUUAUUUCCCAUUCAAAACUACUACUAGCCUUUAAAAAUCAUUCGUCUGCUAGUCUUUCUAAAACUUUACAGUCCUUUUCAUCACCCUUUCUCUUCUCAAGUUAUUUUUCUUCGCAUGAUCCGUUUUGCUAACACUUUUCAGCAGGCUAAUGGAUGUCACAGGCUAAAAUAGCCGGCUAGUGGAUAAAGAACAAAAAGUUACGGGUAACAUGGCAACUUCGAUACACUAUGUGUUUUUGCUAAACUCUGUUUUAUUCCUGAAGCUGAAAACAGUCUUUAUAAUCUGGCCAAAAAAAAAAAAAAAAUUAGAAAUAAAAUUCUUAAGUAUCAUGUCAUCACAAAUAUUUGUCUUAAUGGGACAGCCUUAAGACCCCUGAUGCCAGAAGAAAACCAAAUAGUAUGUGAAAAGGUAGCACAGGUCCUAUGAAGCAUUCGCUCCUUUUGUUUGAGGGCUGUUUGCAUUUAUGGAAUUCCACUGACUGUGGCACUGCCUCCUCAGGAAUAAAAGCAUCCAGCGACAAGAAUGGGAAUGGGAGCAAUGGAACAUUCCACUGUUCCAACUGGGAGGCUCUGAGAAAGGAAGAUGAAAAGAGAUUUAAAAGCCUCGCUUUCAUGAAUGUGUUUAAUUCUUUUUUUUUUUUUUAACUUAAAAAUGUACUCAGCCAUGUCAAUGUAGGAGGCCUUUAUGUAUUCACAUUUUAAAAAUCAAACUACUCUUUUAAUAUUAUACAUGGAAUGAAAACAUUAGGGUAUGUUUUCUUAAGUGUUUAUCUUUCU